UGUGGAAGGGACUCUGUGUGACUGGU
rnacentral:piRNA from 1 species